rnacentral:lncRNA from 1 species
GCAGGGCAAUUAUGGUCUGUCAUUAAAUAUAUCUCUAUCGUCUACCGAAAGUGGAAUUAUAUUGUAGCUCAAAGCAUACUAAAGUUAUAAAUCGGGGUUUAAUAAAAUGAACGCGUCGAUAGAUAAAUGAUAAGUGUGUGAGUGACCACUGUUGUCUUUUAUAAAAAUCCGUUCAAUAGCUGCCUUUAUUUCAUUGCGGGAUGUGUUUUGGAACAAUAAAAUGCACGGAUUUUUCAAAUUGACAGCUGUGACACCUGUCAAAGUUUGAUUUGACAUAUUGACAAAUGUCACAUACACCCGAAAAACAUAGAAGUCAAAGAUGAAAGUAAGUUGUGUGUUGUAAAAACUAAAGGAAUUCCACCAAAAAUGUUGAUGCAAGACGGACAAGCGGGCAGGAGAAUGAUAGUGAAAUAUUUAAGAGGAUACGUACCCGGGAGCACAAACGUUUACGAUAAUAUCGUUAUCUCUAUCGCUCUUCAAUAUUGGCGCGACAAAGCCAGACUGUGUUUCAAUCGGCGUCUAGCGACGGCGAAUUUCCUCUGAGCAAUUCAGUCAGGGUAUGCUGCAAACAUACCAAGGAGCCAACAAGGAAUGUUGCCUAGGCUUGCCGCGAGAGAUGUGAAAUGCCAUGACACAAACAAAUUUAAAUAUAUACUCAACAACAGCGGGCACUACAAGGCUCUGGCAUAGAGUACCUAGAGCAUGGAAUGAGGCUACCAUUGCAUAGUUAAAUAUGAUGUGGCUCCUUCUUGUCAUACUUUCUACAGCUGCAGAAAAAGAAAAACAAUGUGACACUGAACCAUACUUCGGCCAGUGAGGUGUAAUUGAACUAAAUGCCAUAAAACCAACUUGUUUGAAAUAGGUCCAGAAAAGUUAUAAGUUCAUGGUAUAUUAGAAAACACUCAAGAUAUCGAGGAAACACAAGAAGUUGAUGUCGAUCUAAUCAGAGAUAUUAAUUAUUAGAAAUGAAUGUAUUUGAAAUACAAAUAUAAAAUACCUAUUUUAAAUUUUAAAUACUUUUAUCAAAAACUAUUUUGUA